rnacentral:rRNA from 1 species
UACGGAGGGGGCUAGCGUUGUUCGGAAUUACUGGGCGUAAAGCGCACGUAGGCGGAUUGUUAAGUCAGGGGUGAAAUCCUGGAGCUCAACUCCAGAACUGCCUUUGAUACUGAAGAUCUUGAGUUCGGAGAGGUGAGUGGAACUGCGAGUGUAGAGGUGAAAUUCGUAGAUAUUCGCAAGAACACCAGUGGCGAAGGCGGCUCACUGGCCCGAUACUGACGCUGAGGCACGAAAGCGUGGGGAGCAAACAGG